rnacentral:tRNA from 1 species
GGAGCUAUAGCUCAGUUGGCUAGAGCGUUUCAUUGACAUUGAAAAGGUCAGUGGUUCAAGUCCACUUAGCUCCACCA